GGGCUUCGGCCUGGCGGCGAGUGGCGAACGGGUGAGUAAUGCAUCGGAACGUGCCCAUGUCGUGGGGGAUAACGUAUCGAAAGGUACGCUAAUACCGCAUACGCCCUGAGGGGGAAAGCGGGGGAUUCUUCGAAACCUCGCGCGAUUGGAGCGGCCGAUGUCANAUUAUCUAAUGGGUGAGGUAAAGGCUCCCCUGCGAGACUAUCCGUAGCGGGUCAGAGAGGAUGAUCCCCCACUCUGGGACUGAGACACGGCCCACACUCCUACGGGAGGCAGCAGUGGGAAAUUUUGGACAGGGGGGGCAACCCUGAUCCACCCGUGCCGCGUGAGUGAAAAAGGCCUUCGGUUUGUAAAUCUCUUUCCGCCGGGAAAAAAUCGGGCUCUCUAACAUACGCUGUGGAUGACGGUCCCGGACUAAAAAGCCCCGGCUAUCU
rnacentral:rRNA from 1 species